AUAUUAUAUAGAGAGAGAGACUCUUUUAUUCGGUUUGUCUUCUCCAACUGCCACUGGAUUCACGUCAGAAGUAGCUGCAGCAUCAUCUCUCUGUUUCCAUGUUCAUAAAAGAGCAGCCUACGCUGGGCUUCGAGGGAAGAAGAAAUCUACGGGACAUUGUUUGAUUGCUUCUAUAACUCCUUUUCAUUCUGUUAUCCUGAAAACCCGUGGCAGAUUGUCAUCGAACUUCUUUUAUGGAAGUUCAAGCAAGACAUUGUGUGCUUAUCAUCAAAACUCCACUCUACUAUCCUCCUCCUUGGUUCAGUGUUUCUCCCAUGAUGAAAUGGACUGAUAACCAUUACAGAACUUUGGCCCGUCUCAUCUCAAAGAAGACGUGGCUCUACACAGAAAUGCUUGCUGCCGAAACAAUUUUCUUACCAGUUUGGCAAUUUGUUGUGGAUGUCCUAGCCCCAGAGUAGCUUGACAUGGGUGUUUUGGUGUGUGCCUCAUGCUUGAUCCAAAGGAAAGUUUGUUGCUGAGGCAAUGUGCGUAAUCGCUGCAAAUAUAAAUGUUCCCAUGAGUGUCAAAUGCAGAAUUGGACUUGAUGAUCAUGAUUCAUACUAUGAACUAUUCGAAAGAUCUGCUUCUGCCCAGAGGGGUUCCCAAAGGGUAAAAAUGAGUUCUUGGAUGUGACUAAAUUUGAGGAGUUUCUCAAGGA